rnacentral:rRNA from 1 species
AUUGAACGCUGGCGGCAUGCUUUACACAUGCAAGUCGAACGGCAGCGCGGGCUUCGGCCUGGCGGCGAGUGGCGAACGGGUGAGUAAUACAUCGGAACGUGCCCAGUAGUGGGGGAUAGCUCGGCGAAAGCCGGAUUAAUACCGCAUACGACCUGAGGGUGAAAGCGGGGGAUCUUCGGACCUCGCGCUAUUGGAGCGGCCGAUGGCAGAUUAGCUAGUUGGUGGGGUAAAGGCCUACCAAGGCGAAGAUCUGUAGCUGGUCUGAGAGGACGACCAGCCACACUGGGACUGAGACACGGCCCAGACUCCGACGGGAGGCAGCAGUGGGGAAUUUUGGACAAUGGGCGAAAGCCUGAUCCAGCAAUGCCGCGUGUGUGAUGAAGGCCUUCGGGUUGUAAAGCACUUUUGGCGGGAACGAAAAGGACUGUGCCAAUACCACGGUUCGAUGACGGUACCCGCAGAAUAAGCACCGGCUAACUACGUG